UACGUAGGGUGCGAGCGUUAAUCGGAAUUACUGGGCGUAAAGCGUGCGCAGGCGGCGCGUUAAGACAGGUGUGAAAGCCCCGAGCUUAACUUGGGAAUUGCGCUUGUGACUGGCGUGCUGGAGUGUGGCAGAGGGAGGUGGAAUUCCACGUGUAGCAGUGAAAUUCGUAGAUAUUCGGAAGAACACCAGUGGCGAAGGCGACACACUGGGCCAUUACUGACGCUGAGGCGCGAAAGCGUGGGGAGCAAACAGG
rnacentral:rRNA from 1 species